UACGUAGGGUGCAAGCGUUGUCCGGAAUUAUUGGGCGUAAAGAGCUCGUAGGCGGUCUGUUGCGUCGGCUGUGAAAACCCGAGGCUCAACCUCGGGCCUGCAGCCGAUACGGGCAGACUAGAGUUCGGCAGGGGAGACUGGAAUUCCUGGUGUAGCGGUGAAAUGCGCAGAUAUCAGGAGGAACACCGGUGGCGAAGGCGGCUAUCUGGACAGAAACUGACGCUGAGGCGCGAAAGCUAGGGGAGCAAACAGG
rnacentral:rRNA from 1 species